CACACACCUGUUGCACAAUAAACGUCGUGGGUGCGAAUAAAAUGAUGUGCCCAUAAAUGCUUUGCGACUGGUGAUUUAGCACAAGAAGCAAGCAUCUGAGGAAUACUGCGUUGCGUUCCAACUUCAUGAGAGCUUACAAUGCUGAAAAAUCAACUUCUUGCAACAUUAAUUUUCGUCGGUUGUGCGGCGAUGUUCGAAUGUCACUGGUGGGUUUGGAAGGAUGCUCGUGACAUCAGAGAGUUUAUAAAUACGACUGCUCCCGUAUGGACCUACCUUACAAGUGAAAUGACGAGUAUUGAAUGUAAAGCAGAUUUGUACAUAGUGAUGACUGCCGAAUAUGUCCAGUUUCAACGAUCGUAUUACCGCGCAAGUGAAAAGUUUAUUUACAGACUUUUGGCUAAACUUGAUUCGAUACGAAAAACCGCAUGACCAUCACAUCUCCAGGUGGUACCCUUAAGCAGACCGAAGAUAUUGUCUAUAUGUCUCGAGACCUCACCUGCGCAGUCUUGAAGGUAACAACGUCUAUGAAAGGUCUUCCAAAGACAUAUGAUCUUCGCAUUCGGGAUAGCGCUGCGCAAGUUCGCCCCCACAGAAAAUGUAUGGAACAUUUUAAGUGGAAAGCGGGUCGGCAAGGAUACUUGCUAUAUAGAGACUAUUGCCGGACUCUGCAGUGAAGCUAGGAAAACUUAUUUCACCUAUUAUGGUGACUGAUAACCUGCAAUUCCAAGCUACGGAAAAUAACCAUUGUGUCUAAUAGAUGCCAAAUGGAAGAAAUGAAGCUGUGCAAAAAAUGCAGUGAGUAUCAACAACGGCGAGGAACCUAAACGAAUGGUGUGACAAUUCACAACUUUGAAUGUGCGAAGUGUUCCGUCAAUACAUUUUCGCUACCACACUAGCAGUCUUGUAUUUCAGUUCUUUGUAUCGUGUAGUCUGUAAGUGAAAGC